CGCGGCCUAUCAGCUUGUUGGUGAGGUAACGGCUCACCAAGGCAUCGACGGGUAGCUGGUCUGAGAGGACGAUCAGCCACACUGGGACUGAGACACGGCCCAGACUCCUACGGGAGGCAGCAGCAGGGAAUAUUGCGCAAUGGGCGAAAGCCUGACGCAGCGACACCGCGUGAAGGAUGAAGGCCCUCGGGUUGUAAACUUCUUUCAGUGGGGAAGAAGCGAUAGUGACGGUACCCACAGAAGAAGCCCCGGCCAACUACGUGCCAGCAGCCGCGGUAAUACGUAGGGGGCAAGCGUUGUCCGGAUUCAUCGGGCGUAAAGAGCUCGUAGGCGGCUUGGCAAGUCGGUCGUGAAAUACCGAGGCUCAACCUCGGAACGCCGAUCGAAACUGCCAUGGCUAGGGUCCGGUAGAGGAGAGUGGAAUUCCCGGUGUAGCGGUGAAAUGCGCAGAUAUCGGGAGGAACACCAGUAGCGAAGGCGGCUCUCUGGGCCGGUACCGACGCUGAGGAGCGAAAGCGUGGGGAGUGAACAGGAUUAGAUACCCUGGUAGUCCACGCCGUAAACGGUGGGUACUAGGUGUGGGUUUCCUUCCUUGGGAUCCGUGCCGUAGCUAACGCAUUAAGUACCCCGCCUGGGGAGUACGG
rnacentral:rRNA from 1 species